UACGUAGGGUGCAAGCGUUGUCCGGAAUUAUUGGGCGUAAAGAGCUCGUAGGCGGUCUGUCGCGUCGGCUGUGAAAACUCGGGGCUCAACCCCGAGCCUGCAGUCGAUACGGGCAUGACUGGAGUUCGGCAGGGGAGACUGGAAUUCCUGGUGUAGCGGUGAAAUGCGCAGAUAUCAGGAGGAACACCGGUGGCGAAGGCGGGUCUCUGGGCCGAUACUGACGCUGAGGAGCGAAAGCGUGGGGAGCGAACAGG
rnacentral:rRNA from 1 species